UUCGACAUUAUCUCCCUUGUAAUAUAAACUACAUCAACCUAAAAAUAAACUUCUAUUCAUAACAUAAAAAUCCUCACGUUCAACAUAAGCUAUAAAAUCAUAUUUACACUCAUAACUCGUAAAUAUACAAGUACAUCAAAGGUCCUACGGUUCAUAAUCAAGGGUAAAAAUAUUGGCAGCCAUCUUUUCCCUCCAUCUAUUCAUAUAGAAGCCAUUAACUUGUUCUAGUGAACCAUUGAUGCUCAAGAAGAUAAUAAGUCAUGGUAAAUGAGGAAAAAUAAUUAAAUUAAUAUGUACAAGUAAAUAUUGAAUUGUAAUUAUAAAAAAAAAAAAAAAAACCCUUACGAAACGACUUGUUUAGUGUUUUGGUACUCCUUUCCAUGGCAAGAGUAUCCGUUUUCAAAUCAAUGUUGAUUUCCUUCAGUGGUUGUGGGACAACAAUGCUAGCAGCCCUGUUUGGGCUCCAUUUUUCCAAAACAUGCAAAAACACACUUCUAGAUGAAGAUCAUUCUGAUUAGUUUGCAUUUUGAAAUGAAGAUAGGAGUAAGUGUUGAUUUAACAAAACUACCAUUCAACCCCUACCCUAACCUACCAAAGACUGCAUCUUCAUAUAAUCUUUAGUUAGGACUUUGCUACACAUACAUCAAGUUUUACAAAAUGCCAUAUAUCACUUUAUCAUUUGUCAAUUUAAAAACAGUUUCAACUUUUUCAUCCAAUUUUUUCCCUCCACGACAUUUUAUAUAUUCCCUUGUUUACAAUUUUUUUGUACAACAUAAUCCCUUUGGUUAUGGUUAGUACUUGGGAUAGGCUACAUCUAGAAUUCAAUGGUACCAAAAAUAGACAAAAAUGAAGUGACAACUUUUUAUUAUUCCAAUUCUGUCUAAUAAAUUUCUAACAACUUUUUAAAUAUUGAAGUGACAACUUUUUAUUUUUCACCAAUUGCAUAAUAUAUGAAGUGUUUGGAUGUUAUACAUUCGACUACCUCAACCUAUAAACUCUACAAGUCCCCCACUGAUGACUUAGCUUGUAGCGCCUAUGGCGGAGUUCAAAGACAAAUAUGUGAAUUGGCGACUCAAACAAAAGAGAACUCUAUCAAGACUAGACAUAUUGCAUAUUAAUGCGUCUGUUUCAUUAUAAUCUAGAAUUUGAUAGUGACAAUUUUUCCCAGACAUGCCUUUGAUAAUAGAUUCCAAUGCUCAUAUUGUUUCAGGUCCAAGAACUGUAGAUGGCUGAUGGCCUAAAAUAGAGGGUUUGUAUUUUCUGUUUCUUUGCCUCGGUUCAGACUUAGGAAAGCUUUAAAAUGACUCCAGAAUUCCAAUCACGGGAAUACAAACAGGCUAAUAGGGCAUCAUAUCAACCAAUUAUAUAGCACUAAUUAGGCUUCCUUCCUCAUGUAAUUCAUGCAUAGACAAGCAAUGAGUGUUUGCCACCUAAACUUAAAAUGCACCAAAAGAAGACCGUAUUUGAUAAACUAACAGAUAUAAGCCUAAAAUCAAUACAAAUUAUGACAACCCAUCACUGCUCUUUCCAAAUCAUACAAAUACACCAAAAAGUUCUAAGGCGUUGCACCAUUUUCCUCCUCCUCAGUUUUAGGUGGCAACUCGGCAUUCAACAUACAUUAUAAUAACUUGAAAUCAAAUUACACUAUACACUCACAACUCACAAUUCACAACAUACAAAUACACCAAAAAGUUCUAAGUGUUAAUAUCAAAUUUCAUACCAAACUCAACUACGUACAAGUUCUCGAGUUUUUUUAAGUACAAAUGUCAAAUAAAUCUAGUAAGAUCAAGCAACCAAAUGAUGAAGUGGGCACACACAUUUGUUUUCCAUCACCACAUCCACUUCAUUGUAUGACUUUAUCUUCUUUAUCAACUCAAACCUCAUCCACUUCAUUAAAGCCUUAGUUUCAUUAAAAAAAUAAAUAAAUAAAAAUAAAAAUAAAAAUCCUAAUUUCUCUAACAUAGAAAGCAUAUACACCACCUAGAAUCCAAUUCAUCAAGGCUGGGAAAAGAAAAUUCAAAACGCAACAUAUACUUAAACCCUAGAACCAAAAAAUUGCCUACAAUUUCAAAAAAUCAAUAUUGGAAUCCCAUAUUAGCUUCUUGAAAUUGAAGAAGAACAAUAUAACUUACCUCAAAUUAAAAGGAAAGCAACACUAGAAUUUUGAAGAGCACUUAUGAUUUGGGAUUUUUUCUUCUCAAUGUUGAAUAUCACUGUUCAUUUAUGAUUUGAGGAGCAAAUUAUUAUAUUUGAAAUUUCUUUUGUUUGAUUUUGCAGAUUUUAGCUUUCGUUGAGACUUGAGAGAGGGAAUGAAAUGAAAAGUAGAAGAAAAGUCGAUUCAUGGGAAGAAGAGAUUUC
rnacentral:lncRNA from 1 species